CAGCAGAGGCCUUAGGUGAGUGGCUUGUCUGCUAUGGCAGAGAUUAGAGGUGCUGCCAGACUGCCAUAAGUGUUAGGCAGUAACAGCAGCAGCUGCUUAUAUGCAUGUGAACAGCUGGGGAAUUAAUUUGGUAUGCAUUCUCAGGAGCCGCUCAUCUGCUGGCAGAGGUAGCCGAAGAAUGCCCUUUAGUGUAAGUCCUCUACAACCAUACACCAAAUGUGCUCCCUGCAUUUCAAAUUCCAUUGUAGAAAGUCUCUGAUAAUCUCACUUAUACCAUGAGCCAUUCCUCAGUAUCUGUCCUCUUCCUGUUAGUGUUCUACAAUUCCUUUCUCCUUAAUUUU
rnacentral:lncRNA from 1 species